GGCCCAUUCCCCCAUCACCUCUCCGGCCUCAUCGACUCCUACUCUUCCCCUGUCGCUCUGCCAGCCUUCCAGCCCUUCCUACACCUCCUUGAACUUCUCAGGGUACUUCAAAAAUGCCAGGGUGAAUCACUUCAGGACCUUUCACUUGCCUUUCCCUUACCUGCAGGCUACAUCCCUCAUCUCCUGUGGGGCUUUGAUCAGAAGCCUGCCAUCAGCGAAGCCUUCUCUGACCACAGUAUUUACAAUUACAAACUCCCCGCAAGUACACCUACAUUCAGAGUGUUAGGAAGGAAAAAGUAAUUUGAUCUUUAAAAAGAAAGGAAAAGCUGGACAACUAGGGAGGUUUAGGUGGGAAGAUCACUUAAGCCCGGGAGUUUGAGUUCAACCUGGGCAACAUAGCAAGACUAUUUAUAAAAAAAAAUAAAAUAAAAAUUUUAAUUCAAAUACUGACCAGUAAAGUGGAUCUGUGUGGGCAAGGGCAUGAUUUAGUGCAGGGAUGGCGAACAGGGUUCCACUCAGUGCCGGCUCUCAGUAGUUGCAGCUGCUGGGAGUAUAGAGCAGAGGUGGGAGGGUCUGAGGUGUUGGUUUUCAGGAGCUAACUAAUAACGGGAGAGAAAACCAGAGAAGAGGUAGGUACAAGUGAUGCUCCGCCCAAACAAGCAAGGUCCAGCACCCAGAAAAAUAGAUGAAAAAGCAGCUGCAACUCUCCUAAUAUAUGAGAACUUGGAGAGUGAUUUAUUUCCCAAAGGAUCCCAGGCAGCAAAAGUCUCAGACCAAGGGGUCCAGGUAUGCACACAUGACAGAGAAGCCAGCUGCAGCUGGUUAGGGAAAAGCUGGGUUCUAAAACCACUUCGGGACUCAGCCCAAGACAGACCAGUCCCUGGACUGCAAGCUCACUUAUUUAUUCAAAGAAUAUUUACCAAACAGCUGCACUGUGUCAGGAACUGAGAGACAACAAAACAUACUCCUGGGCCCUGGAGGAGCUCAAAGUCAAGCAGAAAAAACAGGCACGAAUCUUCCUAAUGAAUUUGCUGAGUGCUGUAGUGAAAGUAAACACAGCCUGCAGUGGGAACACAGAGGCAGCAGAAACUACAGCUCAUGUGUGAAGAUGGGUGUAAGUGUGUUGAAGAAAGGAGCCAAGAUAACGAAUACGUAUACAAAGUGUCCCGUAUGUGUCAGGCAUUAUUAUAAAAUGCUUUACACACAUCAAGUCAUUUCAUUGUUGAGGGAGUAGUAUUGUAUUAUUAUCAUUUUACAGAUGAAGAAACUGAGGCUCAGAGAUAUUAAGUAACUUCCUCGAAGUCCCACAGCUAGUAAGUGACAGGGUCACAAUUCAAAC
rnacentral:lncRNA from 10 species